CGGGAAACUGGGGAUAAUACUCUAUCGACUAUGAAUGCUGGAAUGCUUUUUAGUCGAAAGGUCCGCCGCCGUAGGAUGGGUCUGCGGCCGAUUAGGUUGUUGUUGGGGUAACGGCCCAACAAGCCUGUAAUCGGUACGGGUUGUGGGAGCAAGAGCCCGGAGAUGGAUUCUGAGACACGAAUCCAGGCCCUACGGGGCGCAGCAGGCGCGAAAACUUUACAAUGCGGGAAACCGUGAUAAGGGAACUCCGAGUGCCCGUAAAAUCGGGCUGUCAAUCAGGUUAAAUAACUGGUGAAGAAAGGGCCGGGCAAGACCGGUGCCAGCCGCCGCGUAACA
rnacentral:rRNA from 1 species